UGCGUAGGUGGCGAGCGUUGUCCGGAUUUACUGGGCGUAAAGAGCGCGCAGGCGGUCGUGCAAGUCGCGUGUGAAAGCCCCCGGCUCAACUGGGGAGGGUCACGCGAUACUGCUCGACUCGAAGGCAGGAGAGGGAAGUGGAAUUCCCGGUGUAGUGGUGAAAUGCGUAGAUAUCGGGAGGAACACCAGUGGCGAAGGCGACUUCCUGGCCUGUUCUUGACGCUGAGGCGCGAAAGCUAGGGUAGCAAACGGG
rnacentral:rRNA from 1 species